rnacentral:rRNA from 1 species
UCAGGAUGAACGCUGGCGGCGUGCUUAACACAUGCAAGUCGAACGGAACUGUCAUUUUUGAAGCAAUUAGCUUGCUAAGGGUGGAAAUGUUGGCAGUUUAGUGGCGGACGGGUGAGUAACGCGUGGGUAACCUGCCUUGCACUGGGGGAUAACACUUAGAAAUAGGUGCUAAUACCGCAUAAGCGCACGGGACCGCAUGGUCUUGUGUGAAAAACUCCGGUGGUGCAAGAUGGACCCGCGUCUGAUUAGCUGGUUGGCGGGGUAACGGCCCACCAAGGCGACGAUCAGUAGCCGGCCUGAGAGGGUGGACGGCCACAUUGGGACUGAGACACGGCCCAAACUCCUACGGGAGGCAGCAGUGGGGAAUAUUGGACAAUGGGGGGAACCCUGAUCCAGCGACGCCGCGUGAGUGAAGAAGUAUUUCGGUAUGUAAAGCUCUAUCAGCAGGGAAGAAAGAAAUGACGGUACCUGACUAAGAAGCCCCGGCUAACUACGUGCCAGCAGCCGCGGUAAUACGUAGGGGGCAAGCGUUAUCCGGAUUUACUGGGUGUAAAGGGAGCGUAAACGGCAAUGCAAGUCUGGAGUGAAAGGCGGGGGCCCAACCCCCGGACUGCUCUGGAAACUGUAUACCUGGAAGUGCAGAAAGGUAAAUGGAAUUCCUAAUGUAGC